rnacentral:lncRNA from 1 species
GGGUUAGUAGGAUAAUGUCUGAACGUUACUGAGUUGACAGCAAAAAAAUAUCGGAAAAAUGACUCUUAGUUUUAACAAGACUUGACGUUUAAAGUUUAGUGUUUAGAGAUUUUAUUCAGACCAAAAUGACCUUUCAAAGCAAAAAAGAGUAUAUUGUUGCUUGCUGUUUUUAACAUUUCAUUGUCUUUUUUCCUCUACUUUUUUCACGUGUAU